GACGAACGCUGGCGGCGUGCUUAACACAUGCAAGUCGAACGGAAAGGCCCUGCUUUUGUGGGGUGCUCGAGUGGCGAACGGGUGAGUAACACGUGAGUAACCUGCCCUUGACUUUGGGAUAACUUCAGGAAACUGGGGCUAAUACCGGAUAGGAGCUCCUGCUGCAUGGUGGGGGUUGGAAAGUUUCGGCGGUUGGGGAUGGACUCGCGGCUUAUCAGCUCGUUGGUGGGGUAGUGGCUUACCAAGGCUUUGACGGGUAGCCGGCCUGAGAGGGUGACCGGCCACAUUGGGACUGAGAUACGGCCCAGACUCCUACGGGAGGCAGCAGUGGGGAAUAUUGCACAAUGGGCGGAAGCCUGAUGCAGCAACGCCGCGUGCGGGAUGACGGCCUUCGGGUUGUAAACCGCUUUCGCCUGUGACGAAGCGUGAGUGACGGUAAUGGGUAAAGAAGCACCGGCUAACUACGUGCCAGCAGCCGCGGUGAUACGUAGGGUGCGAGCGUUGUCCGGAUUUAUUGGGCGUAAAGGGCUCGUAGGUGGUUGAUCGCGUCGGAAGUGUAAUCUUGGGGCUUAACCCUGAGCGUGCUUUCGAUACGGGUUGACUUGAGGAAGGUAGGGGAGAAUGGAAUUCCUGGUGGAGCGGUGGAAUGCGCAGAUAUCAGGAGGAACACCAGUGGCGAAGGCGGUUCUCUGGGCCUUUCCUGACGCUGAGGAGCGAAAGCGUGGGGAGCGAACAGGCUUAGAUACCCUGGUAGUCCACGCUGUAAACGGUGGGUACUAGGUGUGGGGUCCAUUCCACGGGUUCCGUGCCGUAGCUAACGCUUUAAGUACCCCGCCUGGGGAGUACGGCCGCAAGGCUAAAACUCAAAGGAAUUGACGGGGCCCCGCACAAGCGGCGGAGCAUGCGGAUUAAUUCGAUGCAACGCGUAGAACCUUACCUGGGUUUGACAUGGAUCGGGAGCGCUCAGAGAUGGGUGUGCCUCUUUUGGGGUCGGUUCACAGGUGGUGCAUGGCUGUCGUCAGCUCGUGUCGUGAGAUGUUGGGUUAAGUCCCGCAACGAGCGCAACCCUUGUUCACUGUUGCCAGCACGUUAUGGUGGGGACUCAGUGGAGACCGCCGGGGUCAACUCGGAGGAGGGUGGGGAUGACGUCAAGUCAUCAUGCCCCUUAUGUCCAGGGCUUCACGCAUGCUACAAUGGCUGGUACAGAGAGUGGCGAGCCUGUGAGGGUGAGCGAAUCUCGGAAAGCCGGUCUCAGUUCGGAUUGGGGUCUGCAACUCGACCUCAUGAAGUCGGAGUCGCUAGUAAUCGCAGAUCAGCAACGCUGCGGUGAAUACGUUCCCGGG
rnacentral:rRNA from 1 species